rnacentral:rRNA from 1 species
CUACGGGAGGCAGCAGUGGGGAAUAUUGGACAAUGGGCGCAAGCCUGAUCCAGCCAUGCCGCGUGGGUGAUGAAGGCCUUCGGGUUGUAAAGCCCUUUCGCCAGGGACGAUAAUGACGGUACCUGGAUAAGAAGCCCCGGCUAACUUCGUGCCAGCAGCCGCGGUAAUACGAAGGGGGCUAGCGUUGUUCGGAAUCACUGGGCGUAAAGCGUAUGCAGGCGGAUCGUUAAGUCGGGGGUGAAAUCCCGAGGCUCAACCUCGGAACUGCCUUCGAUACUGGCGAUCUUGGAGUCCGGGAGAGGUGAGUGGAACUGCGAGUGUAGAGGUGAAAUUCGUAGAUAUUCGCAAGAACACCAGUGGCGAAGGCGGCUCACUGGCCCGGUACUGACGCUGAGAUACGAAAGCGUGGGGAGCAAACAGGAUUAGAUACCCGGGUAGUCC